AUCUACAGUUAUCCCACCCCGAAUGUGCCUGGCCUCAUCUGAUCUCAGAAGCUAAGUAUGGUCGGGCCUGGUUAGUACCUGGAUGAGAGACCGCUUGUAAGUACUAGGUGCCGUAGGCU
rnacentral:rRNA from 1 species